GCUAACGGCCAUACCACCCUGAAAAUGCCCGAUCUCAUCUGAACUCGGAAGUAAAGCAGGGUCGGGCCUGGUUAGUACUUGGAUGGGAGACCGCCUGGGAAUACCAGGUGCUGUAAAGC
rnacentral:rRNA from 1 species